rnacentral:rRNA from 1 species
GUCUACGGCCAUGCCACCCUAAACAAGACCAAUCCAAUCUGAUUUUGGAAACUAAGCAGGGUCAGGCCUGGUUAGUACUUGGAUGGGAGACCACCUAGGAAGAUCGGGUACUGUAGGUG